rnacentral:sRNA from 1 species
GCGCAGUCGCGGGAACAGCGCGGAGCAGAGAAGCACCAAAAGAGGCAAACUGAGAUGCAGACAAAUGAUCAUCUGUAUGCUGAUCAUUUUGAAUAGCAAGAAACACAUAAUCCAAAAACUUUAAUUAUUUAUGUUCAACUCUGUACUGGAAAGAAAGAGCAGGCAGGUUUUUUAAUAUAUAUUCUUUCUUUAAAAAGAGACCAAAACCUGUCAAAAAAAUACUACCGUGGAAAGCUCAUAAAUACUACAGUGUGAAGAACCCUGUGCUUAUCUUCAGUUUAUCAUCAGACAUCUUAGGGAAGUUUGAUAAAGAACACCAGGAGAAUUGAGAAUUAAAUGAAAAGGCACUGCAGAAACUUUCUGAAGACAAAAACCUUGCAGAAAGGGAAGAACUCACUCAUAAAUUAUCUAUUAUCACAACAAAAAUGGACGCAAAUGACAAAAAAAUACAGAGCUUGGAAAAACAACUGAGAUUGAACUGCAGAGCCUUUAGCCGGCAGCUGGCUAUUGAGACUCGGAAGACUUUAGCAGCUCAGACAGCUACCAAGACUCUGCAGGUGGAAGUAAAACACCUUCAACAAAAACUUAAGGAAAAGGAUCGUGAGCUUGAAAUUAAAAACAUCUAUAGUCAUCGAAUACUUAAAAAUUUACACGACACAGAGGACUAUCCAAAAG